UGGGGAAUUUUGCACAAUGGGGGAAACCCUGAUGCAGCGACGCCGCGUGAUUUAGAAGGCCUUCGGGUUGUAAAAAUCUUUUCUAUGGGAAGAAAAUGACAGUACCAUAGGAAUAAGGACCGGCUAAUUACGUGCCAGCAGCCGCGGUAAUACGUAAGGUCCGAGCGUUGUCCGGAAUCAUUGGCCGUAAAGGGUACGUAGGCGGGUAAGCAAGUUAGAAGUGAAAUCCUAUAGCUCAACUAUAGUAAGCUUUUAAAACUGCUCAUCUUGAGGUAUGGAAGGGAAAGUGGAAUUCCUAGUGUAGCGGUGAAAUGCGCAGAUAUUAGGAGGAAUACCGGUGGCGAAGGCGACUUUCUGGCCAUAACCUGACGCUGAGGUACGAAAGCGUGGGUAGCAAACAGG
rnacentral:rRNA from 1 species